GGAUAGCUCAGGGGAUAGAGCAGCGGUUUCCUAAACCGUUGGUCGCAGGUUCAAAUCCUGUUC
rnacentral:tRNA from 1 species